AUGCAAGUCGAACGGCAGCACAGGAGAGCUUGCUCUCUGGGUGGCGAGUGGCGGACGGGUGAGGAAUAUAUCGGAAUCUACCCUUUCGUGGGGGAUAACGUAGGGAAACUUACGCUAAUACCGCAUACGAACUGAGGUUGAAAGCGGCGGACCGCAAGGCGUCGCGCGGAUGGAUGAGCCGAUAUCCGAUUAGCUAGUUGGCGGGGUAAAGGCCCACCAAGGCGACGAUCGGUAGCUGGUCUGAGAGGAUGAUCAGCCACACUGGAACUGAGACACGGUCCAGACUCCUACGGGAGGCAGCAGUGGGGAAUAUUGGACAAUGGGCGCAAGCCUGAUCCAGCCAUGCCGCGUGUGUGAAGAAGGCCUUCGGGUUGUAAAGCACUUUUGUUGGGAAAGAAAAGCGGUCGGUUAAUACCCGGUCGUUCUGACGGUACCCAAAGAAUAAGCACCGGCUAACUUCGUGCCAGCAGCCGCGGUAAUACGAAGGGUGCAAGCGUUACUCGGAAUUACUGGGCGUAAAGCGUGCGUAGGUGGUUUGUUAAGUCAGAUGUGAAAGCCCCGGGCUCAACCUGGGAAUUGCAUUUGAUACUGGCAGACUAGAGUGCGGUAGAGGAGAGUGGAAUUCCCGGUGUAGCAGUGAAAUGCGUAGAGAUCGGGAGGAACAUCAGUUGCGAAGGCGGCUCUCUGGACCAGCACUGACACUGAGGCACGAAAGCGUGGGGAGCCAACAGGAUUAGAUACCCUGGUAGUCCACGCCCUAAACGAUGCGAACUGGACGUUGGGAUCAAUUGAGAUUUCAGUGUCGAAGCUAACGCGUUAAGUUCGCCGCCUGGGGAGUACGGUCGCAAGACUGAAACUCAAAGGAAUUGACGGGGGCCCGCACAAGCGGUGGAGUAUGUGGUUUAAUUCGA
rnacentral:rRNA from 1 species